rnacentral:tRNA from 1 species
GGUAUAGCUCAGUGGUAGAGUGCUUGCUUAGCAUGCACAAGGUCCUGGGUUCAAUCCCCAGUACC